AGUGGGGUAGCUCAGAUGGAAGAGCAGCAGAUCGAUAAUCUGCAGGUCGCUGGUUCAAGCCCAGCCCCUACUACCA
rnacentral:tRNA from 1 species